UAGCUCAGUUGGUAGAGCAUGGUGUUUGCAACGCCAGGGGUGUGGGUUCGAGUCCCAC
rnacentral:tRNA from 1 species